UACGUAGGGUGCAAGCGUUAAUCGGAAUUACUGGGCGUAAAGCGUGCGCAGGCGGUUGUGUAAGACAGAUGUGAAAUCCCCGGGCUCAACCUGGGAACUGCAUCUGUGACUGCAUAGCUAGAGUACGGUAGAGGGGGAUGGAAUUCCGCGUGUAGCAGUGAAAUGCGUAGAUAUGCGGAGGAACACCGAUGGCGAAGGCAAUCCCCUGGACCUGUACUGACGCUCAUGCACGAAAGCGUGGGGAGCAAACAGG
rnacentral:rRNA from 1 species